rnacentral:rRNA from 1 species
GACGAACGCUGGCGGCGUGCCUAAUACAUGCAAGUUGAGCGAUGAAGAUUGGUGCUUGCCCCAAUUUGAAGAGCAGCGAACGGGUGAGUAACGCGUGGGGAAUCUGCCUUUGAGCGGGGACAAAAAUUUGGAAACAAAUGUUAUUACGCCUAAACAAUUUUAAACUUAAGUUUUAAGUUUAAAGAUUCCAAUGCCUCAACUCAAGGUUAACCCGGCGUUUGUUUAGCAGGUUGGUGAGGAAAAGGCUCCCCAAGGCAUUGUUACAUUGCCGACCGCGGAGGGUGAUCGGCCUCCUUGGGACUGAGACACCGCCCAAACUUCUACGGGAGGCAGCUGUAGGGCAUCUUCGGCAAUGGACGAAAGUCUGACCGAGCAACGCCGCGUGAGUGAAGAAGGUUUUCGGAUCGUAAAACUCUGUUGGUAGAGAAGAACGUUGGUGAGAGUGGAAAGCUCAUCAAGUGACGGUAACUACCCAGAAAGGGACGGCUAACUACGUG